AACAAUAACAACAGCUAUUUCACUAGAUCUAGAUCCUACUCACUAUACUCCUCCAAGUCAAAUGACUAUGCAGACUAGUUACUUAAACAUAAGAAGUACAUCGAAAUAAUAGACCUGAAUGAAAGGAGACAUCACAAAACAAUUACUCACUAAGAACUAGUUUGAAUGAAUGUACCAUUUUUGAUUGCGACCUUGUAGGUCCAAUGCCAUUGAAGAGACCAAGAUACCAAACUCCAGGAGAUAU
rnacentral:misc_RNA from 1 species